GAUGAAGAACGUAGCGAAAUGCGAUAAGUAAUGUGAAUUGCAGAAUCCAGUGAAUCAUCGAAUCUUUGAACGCACAUUGCGCCCGCCAGCAUUCUGGCGGGCAUGCCUGUUCGAGCGUCAUUACAACCCUCAGGCCCCCGGGCCUGGCGUUGGGGAUCGGCGGAGCCCCCCGUGGGCACACGCCGUCCCCCAAAUACAGUGGCGGUCCCGCCGCAGCUUCCAUCGCGUAGUAGCUAACACCUCGCGACUGGAGAGCGGCGCGGCCACGCCGUAAAACACCCAACUCUUCUGAAGUUGACCUCGAAUCAGGUAGGAAUACCCGCUGAACUUAAGCAUAUCAAUAAGCGGAGGA
rnacentral:misc_RNA from 1 species